rnacentral:rRNA from 1 species
ACAUAACUGAUGCCUCCGCGUACCGACUUUGUGCGCAUUUUAGCUAUUAUGUGUUCUUUUAAUUAAAAUGAUUCUUUUUAAGAUUCAUCUAUUAAAAAUUUGCUUCGGCAUAAUUUUUUUUGAUGAUCUUGUUACUUUGAGUAAAUUAGAGUGUUCAAAGCAAACAGAUAUAGCAUUUGUGCGUUUGAAUACUACAGCAUGGAAUAACAAAAUUGAACAAGUCAGAAUUUUUUUGUUCUUUUUUCUUAUUUUGGCUUAGUUACGAUUAAUAGGAGUAGCUUGGGGGCAUUUGUACUCAGAUGUCAGAGGUGAAAUUCUUAGAUUUUCUGGAGACAAACAACUGCGAAAGCAUUUGCCUAAAAUACUUCCAUUAAUCAAGAACGAAAGUUAAGGGAGUGAAGACGAUCAGAUACCGUCGUAAUCUUAACCAUAAACUAUGCCGACUAGGCUUUGGAUGAAAGAUUUUAAAAUAAGAGUUUUUCUUUUCUCUCCGGAGAUUAGAACUCUUAGAUUGCUUCCUUCAGUGCCUUAUGAGAAAUCAAAGUCUUUGGGUUCUGGGGCGAGUAUUCGCGCAAGCGAGAAAGUUAAAAGAAUUGACGGAAGGGCACCACCAGGCGUGGAGCUUGCGGCUUAAUUUGACUCAACACGGGAAAACUCACUAGUUUAAGACAAGAGUAGGAUUGACAGAUUAAUAGCUCUUUCUUGAUUUCUUGGAUGGUGAUGCAUGGCCGUUUUUAGUUCGUGAAUAUGAUUUGUCUGGUUAAUUCCGAUAACGAACGAGAUCUUAACCUGCUAAUUAGCGGCAAAUACGAUAUAUUCUUAUGUAGAAUUGAAUAUAGUGGAUUUGUUAGAUUUUGAAGAAAAUAUUGGAAUUACGUUAAAUGUGAUUCCUUUCCCUUUUCUACUUAAUUUACAUUUCCAUCUAUUUCUUUUUUGCGUAUGAAUGUAUUUGCUUGAUUGUAAAGCUUCUUAGAGGAACGAUGUGUG